UACGAAGGGUGCUAGCGUUGUUCGGAAUUACUGGGCGUAAAGGGCUCGUAGGCGGCCAACUAAGUCGGACGUGAAAUCCCUCGGCUUAACCGGGGAACUGCGUCCGAUACUGGAUGGCUUGAGUUCGGGAGAGGGAUGCGGAAUUCCAGGUGUAGCGGUGAAAUGCGUAGAUAUCUGGAGGAACACCGGUGGCGAAGGCGGGUCUCUGGGCCGAUACUGACGCUGAGGAGCGAAAGCGUGGGGAGCGAACAGG
rnacentral:rRNA from 1 species